rnacentral:lncRNA from 1 species
AUUGUUUCGUGCCUAAUUGUCUGAAUAGUUUUUGCUUUUUUUUUUUGUUUCUCUCUUUUUUUUUUUUCAUUGCAGUAACUUGCACAGGGAUCCUGGAGACGAUGAAAAGGAUUGCUUUCCCCUCAUGUUUAAUGAGGUACUGAAAGUUUCAGGCCGGAGGUUUUCCUGUGCUCUCCGUAGCUGCUGCCCAGUGCUGCCCUGAGGAGAAGCAGUGUUGUGAAGGCGGGUGCUGCCCUGAGGGAAAGCAGUGGGAAGGCUGCUGCUCCUUGCCUACAGGGUGUCAGGGCCAGGCUCAUCGCAAGGCCUGCUGG